CAGACUGACCUCCGCUUCCAGAGCCAUGCGGUGCUAGCCCUUCAGGAGGCUGCAGAGGCCUACCUGGUGGGUCUCUUCGAGGACACCAACCUGUGCGCCAUCCAUGCCAAGCGUGUGACCAUCAUGCCCAAGGACAUUCAGCUGGCUAGGAGGAUCCGUGGCGAGAGGGCUUAA
rnacentral:rRNA from 1 species